UACAGAGGUCCCAAGCGUUGUUCGGAUUCACUGGGCGUAAAGGGUGCGUAGGCGGCCGGGUAAGUCUGAUGUGAAAUCCCGCAGCUUAACUGCGGAACUGCAUCGGAUACUCUCCGGCUAGAGGAAUGGAGGGGAGACUGGAAUUCUCGGUGUAGCAGUGAAAUGCGUAGAUAUCGGGAGGAACACCGGUGGCGAAGGCGGUUCUCUGGGCCUGUACUGACGCUGAGGAGCGAAAGCGUGGGGAGCGAACAGG
rnacentral:rRNA from 1 species